GACGAACCGUGCGAACGUUGUUCGGAAUCACUGGGCUUAAAGGGCGCGUAGGCGGGCCACCAAGUCCGCGGUGAAAUCCUCCGGCUUAACCGGAGAAGUGCCGCGGAUACUGGGGGCCUCGAGGGAGGUAGGGGCGUGUGGAACACUGGGUGGAGCGGUGAAAUGCGUUGAUAUCCAGUGGAACUCCGGUGGCGAAGGCGGCACGCUGGACCUCAUCUGACGCUGAGGCGCGAAAGCCAGGGGAGCGAACGGG
rnacentral:rRNA from 1 species